rnacentral:tRNA from 1 species
AAGUGAUUAGCUCAAUGGUAGAGCUUCCGCCUCAUAUGCUGGAAGACCUGGGUUCGAUUCCCGGUUGAUCUU